rnacentral:rRNA from 1 species
AUUGAACGCUGGCGGCAUGCCUUACACAUGCAAGUCGAACGGUAACAGGUCUUCGGAUGCUGACGAGUGGCGAACGGGUGAGUAAUACAUCGGAACGUGCCUAGUAGUGGGGGAUAACUACUCGAAAGAGUGGCUAAUACCGCAUGAGAUCUACGGAUGAAAGCAGGGGAUCGCAAGACCUUGUGCUACUAGAGCGGCCGAUGGCAGAUUAGGUAGUUGGUGGGAUAAAAGCUUACCAAGCCGAAGAUCUGUAGCUGGUCUGAGAGGACGAUCAGCCACCCUGGGACUGAGACACGGCCCAGACUCCUACGGGAGGAAGCAGUGGGGAAUUUUGGACAAUGGGCGCAAGCCUGAUCCAGCAAUGCCGCGUGCAGGAUGAAGGCCUUCGGGUUGUAAACUGCUUUUGUACGGAACGAAAAGCCCUGGGUUAAUACCCUGGGGUCAUGACGGUACCGUAAGAAUAAGCACCGGCUAACUACGUGCCAGCCGCCGCAGUAAUAC